ensembl:lncRNA
ACACCUCAGCGAGUCUGCCGCAGCGACUCCUUUGCCAGACAGCCUCCUCCGCAUCAGAGGGUUUCUCCCCUCACGGGUCUCCUGUCAGCAGGCCCGGGCAGUUCUCUGUCGUGAAGACCUGAAGGAAAUUGUGAUAUUACCACAUGGAGUAUCCACACGUGCAUCUGCAGAGGGUGAGGGAUCUGGUUUUUUAAUUGGAGGUGGGGGUGUUUUUUCCUGUCAGAGCUGUGGCUAUAAAAGGGGUGUAUUUGAUGCAGAACUUGACACAUGAAGCCUAAAGCCAUGGGUGUUUUUAAAACAUAGUCUGUUCCCGAGGCAGUAAAAUCUGCAGAAGUGUGUGUUGGCUAUUUGUCAUGUAUGGUUACAUGACACUGUCUGCAGCAUUCAAGCACCCCACAGCAAAGAUUGUAUUUUUAUUUCUGCAUUUUCUGUGUGAAGACUCAGGUGUGGCUAAGUGACUGAGAGAAAUAAACUGUGCCUGAUGAAAAUGAGAGAAGUGAACAUCCCAAACUCUGAAUAACUGCUAAGGAUAUAAUCCUGUAAACACUGUAAAUGUAAUGCACGAAAUUCACAUAAUAUGAGUGUGAGUUUUGCCUCUGGAUUGGUAGUGACAAGGACUUCACCUUGUUUCUGACCAUGUCUGGAGGUAGAUCCUACGGGUAUUCUGAGUAGAGAGGAAAAAACAGUUUUUUCAUCAAAGGACUGGGUGAACUCAACAGAUCCUUCUGUCACUGACUUCAGUACGCUCUGGGUCUGUUACAGUAUCCUUAAACCUAAAUCCAUACAAUCAUUUAGAGGAAUCCUUAGGAAACUGAAAAGGUAAACGAUUUCAAUUACGUUACAGUAAAAUCCAAGAUAAAGUAAAAACCACAAACCUCCAUGCUUAACUAAUGCAUAUCAAAAGCAGAGAAAUCCUUCAUCCAAGCUGACAUUCCUCACUUAACUCUCCAUGAUUAUGGUCAGCUUUUGAAGUGUCCUCAAUACAUUUUAUUGAGAAGUUGUACCAGCUGGUACAAUAUGUCCUAUUUAAGCAUAACAGGAUGCAGAAAAGGUAGUUUUCUCUUUUCUUUUUUGUCUUUAAUUUCCUGGUUUGUUUACAUUUUUACUAAGCUGAGGAAAAAUCAGAGAGAGAGUUGUAUCCUGUGUUGUUUGAAGAGACAAGGUAUGUAUUUUGAAUACUCAAAUCUAGAAUAACUCCUUUGAAAGAAGAAAUGUGUUUAGCUAUUUUCUCAUGUAUAAGAUAGAAUACAGUUGUGCACUCAGCAAUUACGUGAAUGAAGACACUUGUAAACCAUUUGCAUCACAGUACAUCAUGUGUUACAUGUGUUACAGAAUUGAUUUUCUGCUCUGCUGUGUUCUAGCUUAUGCAGUGACCCAGGUUUAUUCUAUAGUUAAAGGUUGUAUUGUCUACUUUGGUAACUGAAAAGGUUACUGCCAAACUGUUCAGCCUUUUGAUUUAUAGAAGAAUAACCAGCAAUAUUUAUUCUCGAUUGGCCAAAAUGAAACUUGCAUACCCCUUGCUAUAUGCUGUAGAAGUGUGUGUUUAGCAAGGUAGUAAAAAAAAUAACAUUUGUUUGCAAAAUAAGUGCUAUUUGCAAAGAGCAGCCAGAUUUGGUAUCUUGCUAUAAAAUCAAAAGAAGAGCAGGACUGGGGUCAAAGCAGUGAAUUAAUUGGAAAAGAAACAAGUGAAUGCAAUAUCAGUAUACCUAGAUCCUUGUAUAUCCUUUGUCUGAGGCAAUUCCAUUUGGCAAAGAGAAGGUCAGGAUAGC